GAUGAACGCUGGCGGCGUGCCUAAUACAUGCAAGUCGAGCGAACGGACGAGAAGCUUGCUUCUCUGAUGUUAGCGGCGGACGGGUGAGUAACACGUGGAUAACCUACCUAUAAGACUGGGAUAACUUCGGGAAACCGGAGCUAAUACCGGAUAAUAUUUUGAACCGCAUGGUUCAAAAGUGAAAGACGGUCUUGUUGUCACUUAUAGAUGGAUCCGCGCUGCAUUAGCUAGUUGGUAAGGUAACGGCUUACCAAGGCAACGAUGCAUAGCCGACCUGAGAGGGUGAUCGGCCACACUGGAACUGAGACACGGUCCAGACUCCUACGGGAGGCAGCAGUAUGGAAUCUUCCGCAAUGGGCGAAAGCCUGACGGAGCAACGCCGCGUGAGUGAUGAAGGUCUUCGGAUCGUAAAACUCUGUUAUUAGGGAAGAACAUAUGUGUAAGUAACUGUGCACAUCUUGACGGUACCUAAUCAGAAAGCCACGGCUAACUACGUG
rnacentral:rRNA from 1 species